UACGAGGGGGGCGAGCGUUGUUCGGAAUUAUUGGGCGUAAAGGGUGCGUAGGCGGUUUUGUAAGUCUUAUGUGAAAUCUAUGGGCUCAACUCAUAGACUGCAUGAGAAACUGCAGGGCUUGAGUAUGGGAGAGGUGAGUGGAAUUCCUGGUGUAGAGGUGAAAUUCGUAGAUAUUCGCAAGAACACCAGUGGCGAAGGCGGCUCACUGGCCCGAUACUGACGCUGAGGCACGAAAGCGUGGGGAGCAAACAGG
rnacentral:rRNA from 1 species